ensembl:snRNA U6 U6 spliceosomal RNA
GUGCUCACUUCUACAACACAUAUACUAAAACUGGAACAAUAUAGAGAAAAUUAGCAUGCCCCUGCACAAGGAUGGCAUGCAAAUUUGUGAAGUGAUCCAUAUUGGG